CUAGCUGCUAACUCUUCUCAAGGUCUAGCACGCUCUGAACACUGGCCGGCUCAGCCUGGGUGUUGACAUUGCAUUGUACGUGUCACAGAGCAAGGGCGGGUCAGGGGGUGGUAUGGGGGCCCCACACAAGCCCAGGCCCUGGAGAAACCCGGCCCGAGGGCAAAGAGCCCGACCCCUUCUGGGCUUUCUAGCGGCUGGGACUUGUCGCUGUGGGUGGCAGGUGUUUGGCACCGGAUGGGUCACCAUGCGGAGACUGUUGGGGACUGUGGAAGUCUUCUCCUCCAGAGCUCACCCUGCCUGGGCACCGGCUCUGCAGACCCCUCAGCCCUGGCUAUGUAUCGGCCAGCCCUUCCCCGCAACGGGGCCCAGAGGCCAGAGCAUGCCCAGAGCUGAGUGGAGGAGGCACCCAGAGUUUGCCAGGCUGUGGCCCGCCACCUCCGUGGACCUCCCCAGCUUGUCCGCGAGCCCUGGAGACAGGAGCGCCUUCUCCAGGGCUGCUGAGCUACCAGCAUCACCAUGAGCCAGGCAGUGAAGGUUUCUGAGCAGGGGAUGCAGAGCCCUGACGCGACUGGAUGCUGCACCCCACGAUGUCCCUUCCUGGCAGGUAGGUUCUUUCUUCAUUUGUUUUUCGAAAUUUGGUAAAAGAACACUUAAACCUUCGACUGUUCUUCAGGGUAUACAGAUGGUAGUGGCUUAGCCGGGAUUCGAAGCAAGCCUGUGUGAUUCCAGAGCUCGUGCUCUGGACUCUGGUGCCUCCUUAUCAUAUAUGCUUCAUGUGUUACUUUUAGCCCUAAGUGCCAUACCUGUAAUGAACACAUACACUGCCCUGUAGGAGGUGUUCUUUUGUUCAACGCGUGAAUUGGUCAUCCACCACACUGGGUUCUAAUCUCAGAAGAUAGGUCAGGGACCACCAGUUGUCAGCAUAGCACCAUCCCACAUUUCUAAUUGAGGCUUGCAGCCUAGAUUUGUCCCUUUGGUCUAGUUUGAAGGAUCCAGGUAUGUAAAGCUUAUAUUCUAGAUAAAUCAGGGGCUCUCCUGAAAGGAAUUCAUCAAUGAAUUAUUCUGUAUGGAUUAGAAGCCAGUUUCUCUGGCCUUCCUGGAGUAUAUCCAGUAAGGCAUCUCAUUCAUGUCUAGAAAGCAAAUAUAUCAUUUAUUGCAACUUCAGCAUGGAGCGAUGUAUUGGUUUAAAAUAAAGUACGAUCAACACGAUUUGGUCAUUGUGAGUAUGCCGGCUGGGUCCACUCUUUACUACACAUAUGUAACUCUAGAGCUUCUUACGCCCCAUAGAGGAGACAUACUCUUGUGUGUCUAGGACAAGGGAAACGUGUGUUGUUAUUCAGGAGCUGGAAGCUACAGCAUGACAGGAAAGAACUGAAAAAUCCUGGUCUUGGUCUACACAUCACUUUACCUUGUUCGAAUCUUGUUUCUUUGGCUUGCUUCAUUGGAGUGUUUUCUCUCUCCUGGGACUGACAUUGUGUGUUAUAUAUCAGGCAUGUAACAUGUAGAAGUUUCAGAACCAGUGAAACUUUGUAUAUUUUUGUUUAAAAUCUAUUUAAAAUCACACUGGGCAUAAUUCAUAUAUUCCAAAAGUAGUUUGACCCUCUGCUCAUGAGAUUCUUUUUAUGGUAUGUCAAAGCAAAUUUGGACUUCCAUCCCCAAUAAACUUUGAGGUUGGAGGACACAAAAGCUUUUGCUCAGACCUAAAUUCUGUCUGAAGAAAAAGGGUAACUAUUAUAAGCCCUUUCUAACCUCUCCAGGAGCAGAAAUGAUUUACAGCUAUGGCAUUGAACGAUAAUUUCUUGAUCUCAUUUGAGAAGAGCUCAGUGAGAAACCGUGUCUUGAUUUUUGUUUGUUGGUUCCCUGUUUUCUUGUCUUGCUUACCAACAAUCCACUGUAAUCCAUGAGUGAGUAUGGCAGCAGGCUGAGUGUUCCCUGGAGCUCAUUAAGUGAACGUUUUUUCCUAAAAUGACUUUUGUCUCCUUGUUUUCAGCCCCUCUUCUUUCCUCUGUCCUUUACUAUAACCAGGGCUCAGCAAAAGCUGCCUGGCUUUGUGCAGACCCUACUUAGGGUAGUCUUUUCUUCAUUAUUUUAUUCAUGGCCCCUCCAUUUCAUUGUUUGCCUUCUCGAAAUGUGUUGAAAUCUUUCUGUGGUUGAUGACUUCCACAAUGUCUUGGCUUUUAUUGGUUGAUUAAUUUUGGUAUUUCUGCAGUUUUAUUUAAACAUGGUUUCAGGAGGACCAGAAAGUAAAUAUAUUUCCUAGUCUGCCAUCUUGAGCUGAAAAUCCCCGUGGAUUUUAGCAUCCAAUGUUCCCAUGGGCAAAAAACCCAACCUUGGCAUUAAUAGAUGUACACUCAAGAUUUCAGCUUUUCUUGAGCAAUCACUAAGGAUUUAAUAUGCGGUCACUUGUAAUGGGAAAAUAAUAACUAUCUCAUGGCGUUGAUUUGAGGAUUAACUUAGAUAAUGGACAAGAAAAUGCUUUGUAAGGUUUUAAAAUCUAUAAAAAAUGUGUUUUGUUAUUAUUUGAUUUGUUGCUAUUUCACCUUUAGCUGACAGUUGUUUGUGACCUUGCUUAUGUGAGAAAAUGCCUUCUGGUUUAUUGUUUUGAAAGCCAGAUGAUAUUUUUCAAUAGCUCAGUGGAAAUGGCAUCAUUUGUGAAGUUGAAGGGUGAAGGCAUAAAUGUUUCUUGACAUUUGAAUCAACUAUUGGUCUUCUGGGGCUUGUCCUUAUUCUCCUGCAGUCUCUAAUCAACAUGGCAUCCAGAGAGAUCCUGUUAAAACAUAAGUCAGAUCAUGUCACUCAAGUCUCUUCAAUGGCUUCUUCACAGGAAAAGCAAAGUCCUCAAAGUGCCUCCACAGCCCUAGAAAUCUGGGCCUCUGUUUCCUCUCUGACUGUUUCCUUCUCCUCUCCACUUUGCUCCCUCUGUUUUCCACACACUGACAUCCUUUCUGCUCCUUGGAUACUCCAAGCCCACUCUUGCCUCAUUGCCUUUCCAUCUGACUGUUCCCUCUGCUUGUACUAUUCACUUCCCAGAUAUGCACCUUGCUCCCUCUCACAACCUUAGGUUCCCUCGUAAAUUUUAUCUUCCCCAGAAAGCCCUCAGUGAUCACUUAGUUUCCGAUCGCAGCCUCCUCCUACCAGCUAACAAUCUCCAUCCCCCUUCCCUGCUUGCUGUUUUUCUCCAGCACUUACCUGAUAUACUAGUUAUUCUACCCAUUUGUUCAAUUUUUAUUUACGUAUUUACACUUACGAUUUUAUAUUUGCUUCUUUACUUUUGUCUCUCCCCUCAGCUCGAGAGAGGCUAUAUUCAUCUGUGUUAAUCACUGCUGUGUUUCCUGAACAUGCCUAGAAAACAUCCUGAAGAAGGGUGCCUGAAAUUUGGAAUGACUGGCCACAGGACUGGGCGUCGUAGCUUCCUGCCAGGCGGCCGAAGGUCGCAGGCAGGCUCUCUAGAAAGCAUGUGCAGAGCCUCCCACCCCACCCUCGGACUCCGCGGGCCACAGCUGGAGGGACCAGCCAAGGAACCGUGGCAGGAAGAGGCCAGAGGUCAGCGGGCCUCGGCCGGAGCCCGUCAGUCGGUCCCCAUUCACACACCACCAGACGAUCCUCUUGACCUGGGCAGUAGCCGCCAACCGACCGCUGAGGUGAGCCCGGUGCGCGCUUGGCUACCUGGCAUGGCUGGGAACCCCAGGAUCUCCUGGCAGAGGCGGGCAUUCUCCUGGGCCGGGUCCGCGGGCGUCUGCAUGUGCAGGGCCUGAACCACCUUGGCCAGGACGAUCUGGCACAGGUUGAAGAGGCCUGGGGGGCGGGAGGAAGGAGACGGGGGGCUGGCACCGUGUCCAGGCCGCGCUUUCCAGCCGGGCAGACCGGAAGCCCCCUUCCCUUCCCUCGGUCCGGCCGCAUCUGGGUUGGCCUCCCGGGACUUGAUGAGCUUGUCCAGCAGCUCCUGAGGGACGGUGCUGCCCGUGCCCCACCAAGACUGGCAGCAGCGCCAGGGCCUCCCAGGGCACGGCGCCCCCGGCCCCAGAGUCUUCCCUCUGGUUCUCAUCACCGGCUGUCACCAGACUUGCAUGCAACGUUCUUUUCUUUUCUCUUGUCGUCUUUACGUCCCUCAGCCACGCAACACGGUGAAGCCCUGACGCUCGCUGCCGCGUCGAUACACCCUGAGAACACGAUGCUCAGCGAGAGAAGUCAUACACAGAAGGACACACAGGGCGUGACCCCACUGAGGGGAAACGUCCAGAGCAGGUAGAUCCACAGAGUCAGCGAGUGGGUUCCUGGUUGUCAGGGGCUGGCGAGGGGACGGAGUGAUAGCUAAGGGCGUGAGGGACAUUUUCGGGGUGACGGAAAUGGUCCAAAGCAGUAGUGACGUCUGUACAGCUCAGUAAACUGUCCCCACACGCCCCGGUGCAGCCUGUGAGAGCAUCGCGCUCAGGAUGAAGGGCUGACCACAGGAAGACUGAACGAGCAGUGGGUCCUGGGCCCAGACGCUCAGCUGGCGCCCCCCACGUGGGGAAGUCACUGGGACUUGCUGAGCCUCCACGGAGACUGGCAGCAGCCCCCGAGCUCACAGGGCACUGCGCCCCCGGCCCCAGAGCCUUCCCUCUGGUUCUCAUCACCGGCUGUCAGCAGACUUGCAGGCAACGUUCCUUUCUUUUCUUUUGUCUUUUUCCAAGGCAACUCUUGAGUGCAUGUAUUUAACAUGCAGGGAACCAGCCCUGACUCCUUGAUCUGGGUCUUCC